UUAGGGUUUUCGCCGCCACCGCCGUUGCCGUCGCCGUCGUCAACCUUCUUCUCUACUCUGCUCACCGAAACCCUAAGAAUGCAACCAGCGAAUUCCAUGGUUCCACAACCAAUGGCGGCUCCAUCGCAACAACAGUAUCAACAGCAGCCGCAGCAACAUUGGAUGGCUCAGCAGCAGCCGGCAGCGUAUCAGGUUCCGCAGCAGCAAUCGGCGUAUUAUUACCAGCAACAGCAACAACCUCAGUACAACGCCGCGGCAGCUGCUGCUCAACCGACCAGUUCCGAUGAGAUCCGGAGCUUGUGGAUCGGAGAUCUACAGUUUUGGAUGGAUGAACAGUAUAUCCAGAACUGCUUCGCUCACACUGGAGAGGUGGCCUCUGUUAAAGUUAUCCGCAACAAGCAAUCUGGACAAUCUGAGGGUUAUGGAUUUGUUGAGUUUAUUAGUCAUGCGGCUGCUGAAAGAAACCUACAAACAUAUAAUGGCUCCAUGAUGCCUAAUAGUGAGCAACCCUUUAGACUCAACUGGGCAUCACUCGGUUCGGGUGAAAAACGUUCAGAUAAUGGUCCUGAAUACACAAUUUUUGUUGGAGACUUGGCAGCUGAUGUCACUGACUAUAUGCUUCAGGAGACAUUCAGGGCCAACUACCCCUCAGUCAAGGGUGCAAAGGUUGUGACUGAUAGGGUCACUGGGCGCACAAAGGGCUAUGGGUUUGUUAAAUUUGCAGAUGAAAGUGAGCAAUUGCAUGCUAUGACUGAGAUGAAUGGCAAGUUCUGCUCCACUAGGCCAAUGCGGAUAGGCCCUGCAGCUAACAAGAAGAGUGUACCUGGUCAGGUGCAAGCUUCAUAUCAAAGUACCAAUGGAACUCAAAAUGAGGACGAUCCUUCUAAUACAACUAUAUUCGUUGGGAAUUUGGAUGCUAAUGUAACAGAUGACCAUCUAAGGCAGGUUUUUGGAAAUUAUGGACAGUUGCUUCAUGUGAAAAUACCAGUAGGCAAACGUUGUGGCUUUGUUCAAUUUGCUGACAGAAGUUGUGCUGAGGAAGCUCUACGAGCAUUAAGUGGAACUCAGCUGGGUGGACAAACUAUCCGCCUUUCAUGGGGUCGUAGCCCUUCCAACAAGCAGCAGCCUCAGGCUGACCCAAACCAAUACGGUGGUUAUUAUGGGUAUUCAGCUGGAUAUGAUGCUGCCGCUGCUGCUGCCUAUGGUUAUGCUCAACCUGCUCAGGAUCCAAAUCUAUAUUAUGGGGGUUACGCUGGGUAUGGAAAUUACCCUCCACAGCAGCAACAACCACAGUGAUCUCUGCUGGUUAAAGGAGUCGACGAAAGCUUCCUAGCACAGUAAUGCAACGAUGUAGAAAGGGAGGGGCAUGGAUUCGAAGUUUGCAUCAGAUUUAGUAUAAGAUAAACUACUGUAGGCUGGUUCUUGAAGAUCAGUAUUUAUGGUUGUGUUCAACCAUCGCUUACUUUUUCAUUAGUUACCUUCUGUUAUUUUUCAUUGGUUUUUUUGUUGAUCUUUUUGUUUUUUGCGCUUUUAUGUUUACUUUUCAUGAGUCCAACUUGGUACUUGGAUUUUUGUUCUAGUUGGUUUUUACAAGGCACAAAGAGGUUAUACAUAACGAGUAAACGUAUAUUGUAAUCUGCUAUAAUUUAUGUAUGGACAAACAAUGGUAUGGUAUUUUAUUUAAAAAUAGUUUUUC
rnacentral:misc_RNA from 1 species